GUCCGUCCCUUUACCGGGCCAUAGGAGGAAAAUUGCUACCAAAUGCUGCCAAUGUGACGUCACUGGGAUGGUCGAAAGCUGAUUGGUCGCUGAGAUUCAGGCGAUGCUGUCAAUUCUGGCGCACCGGCGCAGUGUUUUCCAGCCGUUGCGUGUAUUGUUAUACGGAGUUUGAAUAUUAUUUAUUUGAUAAUAAUAUCACUUUUUAUGCGUUUGAAGAUCGGAAAAGCAUGCACAUAAGUGGCAUUCACACACUUGUCGUCUCAGAGAUCAUGAAGAAUGACCAGCUUCAGCAGUUCAGCUCAGGUCCGGGGCUGGUCCUCUGGCGUGCAGGACGGCGAGGAGUGGCUACCUGCACAUAACAACACAAUGACUGGCACCGAGCUGAGGGUAUAAAAUCACAUCAUAUCGACUUCAGCAUCUGUCUCCCAGCUUUGGAGACGUCGCCCGACUCCCGAGUCCCUGAGUGGCGAGCGCCAGUUUCCGAAAGGAAGUUGAGGAAGGCAACCCGAAAGCACCCGCUGGGCUGCCGACACUCCUGCGCUGCCAGCAGGGCGUGCUGCGCAGUAAAGCCUCGCUGCGUGGUCUGUACGACAUCCGACACCGGCACCCAGACGUGCAGUUUCUGAUGACAUCCCACCUCAACCAGGGCUGCCCCGAGAAUCUGCUAGUGCUGACUGCCUGCUGCUGAGGCCGACCUGCCGGACCUGUCGCCGCCCUGGUGAGCCUGAGCCGCCCUGGGACUUGCUGCCACCCCAGCGGGCCUGCCGCCGCGUCUACGCUACCGCCCUGGUGAAACAGGUCCGUCGUCGCCCUGCCGGACCUGUCGCCGCCCUGGUAAACCUGCUGCCGACCUGUCGCACUUGCCACCGCCCUGGUGAAUCUGCUGCCGACCUGCCUGACCUGUCGCUGCCGUGGUGAACCUGUUACUGACUUGCCGGACCUUUCUCGCCGCCUUGACGAGCUUGGGGAGCCUGUGCUGAGGUGCCACCGCUCUGUUUCACGUGUUAUGUUGCCCGGUUCCUGGCUGUCGCGGAGUCAAUCGGCACAUUGUGUUUGGAGAGGCGACAUCUUGUACAACUUUCCGACAGUUCGGAGCAUUUUAUUGUACCUACUCAAGUCGCAAGAGAUUAGGCUUGUGCCUUAUUUGUCCUCUACCAAUCUGUCCAAUAUGUUUUUUUUUUAUAACUACGAUUUAUGGUAUGACAUAAACCGGUAUAUUGUGUA
rnacentral:lncRNA from 1 species